GGGGAUUAGUGGCGAACGGGUGAGUAACACGUGAGUAACCUGCCCUUGACUCUGGGAUAAGCCUGGGAAACUGGGUCUAAUACCGGAUAUGACCUUCCAUCGCAUGGUGGUUGGUGGAAAGCUUUUGUGGUUUUGGAUGGACUCGCGGCCUAUCAGCUUGUUGGUGGGGUAAUGGCCUACCAAGGCGACGACGGGUAGCCGGCCUGAGAGGGUGACCGGCCACACUGGGACUGAGACACGGCCCAGACUCCUACGGGAGGCAGCAGUGGGGAAUAUUGCACAAUGGGCGCAAGCCUGAUGCAGCGACGCCGCGUGAGGGAUGACGGCCUUCGGGUUGUAAACCUCUUUCAGUAGGGAAGAAGCGAAAGUGACGGUACCUGCAGAAGAAGCGCCGGCUAACUACGUGCCAGCAGCCGCGGUAAUACGUAGGGCGCAAGCGUUAUCCGGAAUUAUUGGGCGUAAAGAGCUCGUAGGCGGUUUGUCGCGUCUGCCGUGAAAGUCCGGGGCUCAACUCCGGAUCUGCGGUGGGUACGGGCAGACUAGAGUGAUGUAGGGGAGACUGGAAUUCCUGGUGUAGCGGUGAAAUGCGCAGAUAUCAGGAGGAACACCGAUGGCGAAGGCAGGUCUCUGGGCAUUAACUGACGCUGAGGAGCGAAAGCAUGGGGAGCGAACAGGAUUAGAUACCCUGGUAG
rnacentral:rRNA from 1 species